GGAUUUAUGGACAAGCACUUUAG
rnacentral:piRNA from 1 species